GAUGAACGCUGGCGGCGUGCCUAAUACAUGCAAGUCGAGCGAACAGACGAGGAGCUUGCUCCUCUGACGUUAGCGGCGGACGGGUGAGUAACACGUGGAUAACCUACCUAUAAGACUGGGAUAACUUCGGGAAACCGGAGCUAAUACCGGAUAAUAUAUUGAACCGCAUGGUUCAAUAGUGAAAGACGGUUUUGCUGUCACUUAUAGAUGGAUCCGCGCCGCAUUAGCUAGUUGGUAAGGUAACGGCUUACCAAGGCAACGAUGCGUAGCCGACCUGAGAGGGUGAUCGGCCACACUGGAACUGAGACACGGUCCAGACCCCUACGGGAGGCAGCAGUAGAGCAUCUUCCGCAAGGGGCGAAAGCCUGACGGAGAAACGCCGCGUGAGUGAUGAAGGUCUUCGGAUCGUAAAACUCUGUUAUUAGGGAAGAACAAAUGUGUAAGUAACUAUGAAAGUAUGGACGGUACCUAAGCAGAAAGCCACGGCUAACUACGU
rnacentral:rRNA from 1 species